AGAGUUGUCAGAAUCCAGAAGGCGAAGACUGGGGGGAAAUAUUGAUCACUUUCAGAAACUGAGUAUUAGGUAAUAAGAUGAAGCACAAGUUCAGAAAUAGAUGUGGAAAAAAUCCCAUUUGUCUUCCUCUUCUACAAUAUCUCUGUACCUUUUCAAUUACAAUUUUCUUAAGUUGCAAAUAUUUCACUCUGUAAUAGGCAUUUACUAAACCUUCAGAAGUAAUGGUAACCUGUUAUGCAUGUGUUUCAACCCUAUUUCUUCCAUAGGUAUUUCAAAGUCUGUUUGUACCAUUGCACGAUGAAAUAGGGAGAAAAGAAGUACAAGGGUUUGAAAUUGUAACUCCUACAUGAGAGAGGGAAAUUGAAGCAAAGGGAGUUGUGAAAUGUAAUACUUUUAAACUUCCUUUCAGAGAAGUUGAAGUUGUAAUACUUUUACUUGUGGCAGCAUAAAACAAAACCAGUUUAUCCUCG
rnacentral:lncRNA from 1 species